ACAAGUCUGAGAAAACAGAACCUUGAAAGACUCACAGCCGCCUCUCCCCAGCAGUAUAAAACCAGUAAACAAUUGCUGGGGAAGGAGACUGACCACCCCAAAGCAGAGAGAGGAGAUUGCUGGACUGCCAGACUGCAGAACUGCCUGCCCGCAGUGCAGAGAGCUCCAACGGACGUGUAGCUUCUAGCUGCAAAGAGCUGUGCAGAGCUCUGGUUGUGAGCUGUUUAGGUUGUGCCUCUCUACUCCUGUUAAAGAGCUGAAGAGAAAGCCCAUUUGGUAAAGCACUUGCUGUGCAAUCAUAAGACCCAGUUCGGUUUCCCUAGAACCCACAUGAGAAAGCCAGGCCCAGAGGCACGUGCUUGUAGUCCUGGUGCUGGAGAAGAAGAGACAGGAGGCUGCCUGGGGCCUGCUGCCUAGAUAGUCUGUCCUAAUCACUGGGAGACCCUAUCUUAAAAGAAAGAGUCAACAUGAAAGCAGCCGUCUCUCCAUAUUGGAUUCUUGCUGUAUUUUGAUGGGCCCAGAUGUCUAUGGAAGCCACGUAGUGGGAGGACAGAGCCAUCUCCUGCACGCUGUCCUCACACCAUCAAUAGGUCUAUGUGCCUACUACACGCCUGUGGUUUGUGCACCAGUCUACACACACUGUCCUGACAUGUGCCUGGGUCACUGCUGAUGGCCGCCUGACUGGGGACCUUUGCACUGAGAAAUGCACCAAAGAACUUGUGGUGUCCCUGCAGCUUCCUCAGACUCGGGAUGAUUGUCCUUGCAGUUUCUGCUGGAUUGACCUGCAUGUUGCUGAUUCAUCUAAACUAUUGACAUCCUGACAACACAGACUGGAUUCACUCCAAACAACGCUUUCUAAACAGUGUUCUUUAAGGUGUCUACAUCGUGCCAGGAGCCCAGGGACCACUUGCCUACUUCUGGACAUCUUCAUUGUAAUGUGCCUAGCCUUCAGCUUCGAUCUGCACCUAAGUCUGAACUCUGCUUCAGGUCGAUGCUAAACAUGUAAUGAAGUCCCUUUCCCAGUAAGUGCAGCAAACAGAGAAACAGGGAUACGUGAGUUAUAUGUAUCCUAACCUUCCACACAGGCUGGGGAGGUGGAGGCAGGAUGAUCUGAACUUCAAGGUCAUGUCAGCUACUCAAUGAGUGAACAAGGCCAGCCUGUUCUGCGUGACCCUCUCGACCUUUACGCUGGAGACAGGGCAUUCCUUUUUUGUUUGGUUUCCUUUAGCCGUUAUGAAAGUGCCUGGGCAGCAGAUCCCCGUGCUGGGCCCGCAUCUCGUCCCACACGUUUCCCAGUCAUGCAUGCUCUUCUUCUUCAGCUAACAGCAGCGCUGCGCCACACUGAUCUAGACACAAAGUUCCAUCCUGCCGAGUGAAAUGUAUUUGUCACCCCUGCUAAAUUUUCCUUAAAUAAGUCCAAGUGCAAGUGACAGGAUCGUGAAACACAAGAGGCGUGUAAGUGGCGUUCGGAUCAAUCAGCCAGUCUAGCAGAGAAUAGGUGUCCUUCUGCUGGGUGGGAGCCCUCAAAGUCCUAACAGGGUCAUCGGGUCAUAUGCAAAUGAUUUCAGCACUUUUCUAUUGGGGCUGGUGAGACUGCUCAGUGGGCAGAAUUGCCACCAGGUUUAAUGACCUGAGUUCCAUCCCCAGGAGCCACAUGGUAGAGGGAGAGAGCUCACUCUUUUGGGCUGCCCUCUGAUAUCCACACAAAAGUAUACAUUUUAAAAGACUAAACCCCCCCCCCAAAAAAAAACUUUAUAUUCAAGUUAAAAUCAUCUAGAGUGUCCAGAGAAGGCUUAAGGCACUUGCAAUAUUCUUCGGGGAUGGCCCAACAUUUCAAAUGAAAAUAUAGUACAAAUUUAUUAAUUUAUCUGAGUGCAUUCAGCAGACUUCUAACUCCAGGAGACUAGUGCAGGGUACAACUUUGAAUAUUUGUCAGUUCGAAUGAGAGUUGCUAUUAGAGAGCGGAGGUUCCAAUGAGGCAGACAUGCCUCGGAAGCUAAUGAAGAACAAAUAAAAAUGUGCUAGAAGGCUCUUGGAAUAGUUUAUUUGCAUCCCCAUAUUAAUAUAUUCCAUUUUAAUAUUGAGACAAGGUCCGGAACUCACUAUGUAUACCAGGCCAGCCUCAAACUCAGAAAUCUGUCUCUUCAGUGUUGGAAUUAAAGGUGCGCACCACACCUGUCUCUUAAUGCAUUUUAACAAUUUUCCUAUAGAGGUGAGCUUCAACUCCAUAUUGAUUAAAAAAUAAAUUAAAUACUC
rnacentral:lncRNA from 1 species